AAGAUGACGAGUGGCGGACGGGUGAGUAAUGCUUGGGAACUUGCCUUUGCGAGGGGGAUAACAGUUGGAAACGACUGCUAAUACCGCAUAAUGUCUUCGGACCAAACGGGGCUUCGGCUCCGGCGCAAAGAGAGGCCCAAGUGAGAUUAGCUAGUUGGUAAGGUAACGGCUUACCAAGGCGACGAUCUCUAGCUGUUCUGAGAGGAAGAUCAGCCACACUGGGACUGAGACACGGCCCAGACUCCUACGGGAGGCAGCAGUGGGGAAUAUUGCACAAUGGGGGAAACCCUGAUGCAGCCAUGCCGCGUGUGUGAAGAAGGCCUUCGGGUUGUAAAGCACUUUCAGUUGUGAGGAAAAGUUAGUAGUUAAUACCUGCUAGCCGUGACGUUAACAACAGAAGAAGCACCGG
rnacentral:rRNA from 1 species